CUCCGGGGUUGGCUGAGCCGGAGACGGAGUCGCUUUAUUUCUCCGUGGGAAUCCUCAGGAUCUCCGGCCAUGAUCUAAUGCUGCUGGUGAAUAGCUAUGGCAGCUCUCCUGUAAAAUGCCUCAUCCUCCAUACUGCACUGGGGGUGCUGCUGCUGAUCAUCACAGCCCUCUUGGCCAACUCUGGAGGGUCCCAUCGCUGUGACGUCAGCCAACCCCACCGGAGAAGCAGAGACCACACACCACAACCAGGUGUACGCCAAGCUGGGAGACCAGGUGUACGCCAAGCUGGGAGACCAGGUGUACGCCAAGCUGGGAGACCAGGUGUACGCCAAGCUGGGAGACCAGGUGUACGCCAAGCUGGGAGACCAUGUGUACGCCAAGCUGGGAGACCAGGUGUACGCCAAGCUGGGAGACCAGGUGUACGCCAAGCUGGGAGACCAGGUGUACGCCAAGCUGGGAGACCAGGUGUACGCCAAGCUGGGAGACCAUGUGUACGCCAAGCUGGGAGACCAGGUGUACGCCAAGCUGGGAGACCAGGUGUACGCCAAGCUGGGAGACCAGGUGUACGCCAAGCUGGGAGACCAGGUAUUACGCCAAGCUGGGAGACCAGGUGUACGCCAAGCUGGGAGACCAGGUGUACGCCAA